rnacentral:rRNA from 1 species
ACGAACGCUGGCGGCAUGCCUAACACCUGCAAGUCGAACGAGACCUUCGGGUCUAGUGGCGCACGGGUGCGUAACGCGUGGGAACCUGCCCUUAGGUUCGGAAUAACUCCCCGAAAGGGGUGCUAAUACCGGAUAAUGUCUUCGGACCAAAGAUUUAUCGCCUUUGGAUGGGCCCGCGUUGGAUUAGCUAGUUGGUAGGGUAAAAGCCUACCAAGGCGACGAUCCAUAGCUGGUCUGAGAGGAUGAUCAGCCACACUGGGACUGAGACACGGCCCAGACUCCUACGGGAGGCAGCAGUGGGGAAUAUUGGACAAUGGGCGAAAGCCUGAUCCAGCAAUGACGCGUGAGUGAUGAAGGCCUUAGGGUUGUAAAGCUCUUUUACCCGGGAUGAUAAUGACAGUACCGGGAGAAUAAGCUCCGGCUAACUCCGUG